UCCCUUUUUCAGUUUAUAAGAGUAAACACUGGAAUGCUCAUGCCACAGUGUGACAUGUGGCUCUCCCAAGCCUUGUUAGGAUGCUGGCACACUGACACUGAGAAA